UACGUAGGGUGCAGGCGUUAAUCGGAAUUACUGGGCGUAAAGCGUGCGCAGGCGGCUUGCUAAGACAGGUGUGAAAUCCCCGGGCUUAACCUGGGAACUGCGCUUGUAACUGGCAAGCUGGAGUGUGGCAGAGGGGGGUGGAAUUCCACGUGUAGCAGUGAAAUGCGUAGAGAUGUGGAGGAACACCGAUGGCGAAGGCAGCCCCCUGGGCUAACACUGACGCUCAUGCACGAAAGCGUGGGGAGCAAACAGG
rnacentral:rRNA from 1 species